AGCGUAGGAGACAAACGUUAUCCGGAGUUACUGGGCGUAAAGGGCGUGUAGGCGGUAUGUUAAGUCUGGCGUGAAAGCUCUCGGCUAAACCGGGAGAGGUCGUUGGAUACUGGCAAACUAGAGGAUGGUAGAGGCGUGUGGAAUUCCGGGUGUAGUGGUGAAAUGCGUAGAGAUCCGGAGGAACACCAGUGGCGAAGGCGACACGCUGGGCCGAUACCUGACG
rnacentral:rRNA from 1 species